rnacentral:ribozyme from 1 species
UUGAGCUGAGAGCACCCGUUGUUCGUGCACCCAAUUGGCCACGGCGCAAGAAAAAAAAAAAAAAAAAAAAAAAAAAAA